AAUAAAUAAGAAAAAAAUUAAGAAACUCUCUUAUAUAGUAUACUGGAUUUGAUAAUAAGAAACUGUAUGUGUCACUUAUUUGUUGGCCAAACCAAAAUAAUAGAGAUACGAUUAUUUUGAUAGUCGAUUGAUUAUUUUUCUUUCGCCUCCUCUCCCCUCUCUGUAUGUCUCUCUCGAUCGAAGUCGAAUUGGCAAUGGAAGAAGAUGGAAUCAAAAGAGAUGGAAGCAGAGGACAAUCGGGUCGGAGGAGAUGCGACGGAGAUUGAAUCAGCGGAGGCUAAUCGGAGGGGAUUGAAUCGGUGGAGGCUAAAAAAUGUUGAUUUGCUGGCUAAAAUUGCAGUAUUUACUCAGCCACAAGUCACGGCAAAAGCUCCAUGGUACAAAUCAAAAUCAUUGAGUGAACUUACUAAUAGCGAUUUUGAUGCCAAACCAAUGGUAAUGCUUUUGGGUCAAUAUUCCACAGGAAAAAAACAUUUAUAAAACACUUGCUCGGAUGUGACUAUCCCGGAGCUCACAUUGGUCCAGAGCCAACAACAGAUCGGUUUGUGGUUGCAAUGAGUGGACCAGAUGAACGAUAUCCAUACCUGAAAAUACCAUGGCUGUUCAAGCUGACAUGUCAUUUAACGGGCUAACAAGUUUUGGAGGUGCUUUGCUCUCAAAGUUUGAGUGUUCACAAAUGCCGCAUCCCGUGUUGGACCAAAUUACUCUUGAGACACUCCUGGAGUUCUUUCAGGAGAGAAACAAAGGAUGUAAAGGAGCUAUGACAUCACUGGUGUCAUCUCAUGGUUUGCAUCUAAAUGUGAUAUGAUUCUCCUUCUCUUUGAUCCCCACAAGCUUGAUAUCUGUGAUGAAUUCAAACGGGUGAUAACAUCUCUGCGUGGUAACGAAGACAAGAUCCGUGUUGUCUUGAACAAAGCUGACCAAGUUGAUACACAACAACUAAUGAGAGUGUAUGGAGCAUUGAUGUGGUGGCUUGGUAAAGUCUUGAAUACACUAGAGGUCGUACGUGUCUAUAUUGGGUCCUAGUAGCAAACCAGGCUUGAAGUCCAUCAACAUAGUGUUUGUCACUAAGGGACCCAAGAACUAGUAACUGUGUGCGAAGUUGCUUGUCUAUCCAGCCGAUGAGUUGAGAUUCUGAGCGGUGGUGGUCACCAUGGUGCCAAGCAUUCCUUUCACGUCAGAUGGAGUGCAUAAUAAGCUGAAAACUAUUCCUUAUCAAGUAACCGUGAAGACGAUCCGGGUGAUCUGCAGAGAUAUAAUCCACUAGUUUUAUAAAAACGUUAGGAGAAAAUACCACGUAGAAGCACUUACAAAAAUAAACGUUUAUAUACAAAUUUUCGUUUUUGCCAAAUUAUGAAUAACUUCAAAAGCAAAGGAGGGUGAUGGGUUUAUAUUAUCAUUGCUUUUGUUCCCAUUGUGUGGUAUAUAUAAAUUAUAAAAAAGGAGUAACUUUGUUUUA